GAUGAACGCUGGCGGCGUGCCUAAUACAUGCGAGUCGAGCGAACAGAUGAGGAGCUUGCUCCUCUGACGUUAGCGGCGGACGGGUGAGUAACACGUGGAUAACCUACCUAUAAGACUGGGAUAACUUCGGGAAACCGGAGCUAAUACCGGAUAAUAUAUUGAACCGCAUGGUUCAAUAGUGAAAGACGGUUUUGCUGUCACGUAUAGAUGGAUCCGCGCCGCAUUAGCUAGUUGGUAAGGUAACGGCUUACCAAGGCAACGAUGCGUAGCCGACCUGAGAGGGUGAUCGGCCAAACUGGAACUGAGACACGGUCCAGACCCUUACGGGAGGCAGCAGUAGGGAAUCUUCCGCAAUGGGCGAAAGCCUGACGGAGCAACGCCGCGUGAGUGAUGAAGGUCUUCGGAUCGUAAAACUCUGUUAUUAGGGAAGAACAAAUGUGUAAGUAACUAUGCACGUCUUGACGGUACCUAAUCAGAAAGCCACGGCUAACUACGU
rnacentral:rRNA from 1 species